GACGAACGCUGGCGGCGUGCCUAAUACAUGCAAGUAGAACGCUGAAGGAGGAGCUUGCUUCUCUGGAUGAGUUGCGAACGGGUGAGUAACGCGUAGGUAACCUGCCUGGUAGCGGGGGAUAACUAUUGGAAACGAUAGCUAAUACCGCAUAAGAGUAGAUGUCGCAUGACAUUUGCUUAAAAGGUGCAAUUGCAUCACUACCAGAUGGACCUGCGUUGUAUUAGCUAGUUGGGGAGGUAACGGCUCACCAAGGCAACGAUACAUAGCCGACCUGAGAGGGUGAUCGGCCACACUGGGACUGAGACACGGCCCAGACUCCUACGGGAGGCAGCAGUAGGGAAUCUUCGGCAAUGGACGGAAGUCUGACCGAGCAACGCCGCGUGAGGGAAGAAGGUUUUCGGAUCGUAAAGCUCUGUUGUAAGAGAAGAACGAGUGUGAGAGUGGAAAGUUCACACUGUGACGGUAUCUUACCAGAAAGGGACGGCUAACUACGUG
rnacentral:rRNA from 1 species